rnacentral:rRNA from 1 species
AUUGAACGCUGGCGGCAGGCCUAACACAUGCAAGUCGAACGAGCGGCGGACGGGUGAGUAAUGUAUGGGGAUCUGCCCGAUAGCGGGGUAUAACUACUGAAAACUGUGUCUAAUACCGCAUACUAUCAUAUGCCCACAUAUGGGAUUAGCUAGUAGGUGGGGUAAAGGCUCACCUAGGCGACGAGCCCUAGCUGGUAUGAGAGGAUGACCAGCCACACUGGGACGGAGACACGGCCCAGACUCCUACGUGAGGCAGCAGUUGGGAAUAUUGCACAAUGGGCGCAAGCCUGAUGCAGCCAUGCCGCGGGUAUGAAGAAGGCCUUAGGGUUGUAAAGUACGUUCAGCGGGGAGGCGUUACCCGCAGAAGAAGCACCGGCUAACUCCGUGCCAGCAGCCGCGGUAAUAC